CCGCAAGGGGAGCGGCGGACGGGUGAGUAACGCGUGGGAACGUACCCCUUUCUACGGAAUAGCCUCGGGAAACUGGGAGUAAUACCGUAUAAGCCCUACGGGGGAAAGAUUUAUCGGGAAGGGAUCGGCCCGCGUUGGAUUAGGUAGUUGGUGGGGUAAUGGCCUACCAAGCCGACGAUCCAUAGCUGGUUUGAGAGGAUGAUCAGCCACACUGGGACUGAGACACGGCCCAGACUCCUACGGGAGGCAGCAGUGGGGAAUCUUAGACAAUGGGCGCAAGCCUGAUCUAGCCAUGCCGCGUGAGCGAUGAAGGCCUUAGGG
rnacentral:rRNA from 1 species